UACGUAGGGGGCAAGCGUUAUCCGGAUUUACUGGGUGUAAAGGGAGCGUAGACGGCUGUACAAGUCUGAAGUGAAAGCCCGUGGCUCAACCGCGGAACUGCUUUGGAAACUGUAAAGCUGGAGUACUGGAGAGGCAGGCGGAAUUCCUAGUGUAGCGGUGAAAUGCGUAGAUAUUAGGAGGAACACCAGUGGCGAAGGCGGCUCUCUGGUCUGUAACUGACGCUGAGGCUCGAAAGCAUGGGUAGCGAACAGG
rnacentral:rRNA from 1 species